GACGAACGCUGGCGGCGUGCUUAACACAUGCAAGUCGAACGGAGUGGCGAACGGGUGAGUAACACGUGGGUGACCUGCCCUGCACUUCGGGAUAAGCAUGGGAAACUGGGUCUAAUACCGGAUAGUGUGGGAUGGGCCCGGGGCCUAUCAGCUUGUUGGUGGGGUAAUGGCCUACCAAGGCGGCGACGGUGAGCCGGCCUGAGGGGGUGGAUGGCCACAUUGGGGCUGUGAGACGGCGCCGACUCCUACGGGAGGCGGCAUGGUGGAAUAUGGCACAGUGGGCGGCAGCCUGAUGUAGGGACGCCGCAUGGGGGAUGACGGCCUUCGGGUUGUAAACUCCUUUCACCAUAGACGCGGUAGAUGGAUAAGAAGCACCGGCUAACUACGUGCCAGCAGCCGCGGUAAUAC
rnacentral:rRNA from 1 species